rnacentral:rRNA from 1 species
CGGGACACGUGGUAUCCUGUCUGAAUAUGGGGGGACCAUCCUCCAAGGCUAAAUACUCCUGACUGACCGAUAGUGAACCAGUACCGUGAGGGAAAGGCGAAAAGAACCCCGGCGAGGGGAGUGAAAAAGAACCUGAAACCGUGUACGUACAAGCAGUGGGAGCACGCUUAGGCGUGUGACUGCGUACCUUUUGUAUAAUGGGUCAGCGACUUAUAUUCUGUAGCAAGGUUAACCGAAUAGGGGAGCCGAAGGGAAACCGAGUCUUAACUGGGCGUUAAGUUGCAGGGUAUAGACCCGAAACCCGGUGAUCUAGCCAUGGGCAGGUUGAAGGUUGGGUAACACUAACUGGAGGACCGAACCGACUAAUGUUGAAAAAUUAGCGGAUGACUUGUGGCUGGGGGUGAAAGGCCAAUCAAACCGGGAGAUAGCUGGUUCUCCCCGAAAGCUAUUUAGGUAGCGCCUCGUGAAUUCAUCUCCGGGGGUAGAGCACUGUUUCGGCAAGGGGGUCAUCCCGACUUACCAACCCGAUGCAAACUGCGAAUACCGGAGAAUGUUAUCACGGGAGACACACGGCGGGUGCUAACGUCCGUCGUGAAGAGGGAAACAACCCAGACCGCCAGCUAAGGUCCCAAAGUCAUGGUUAAGUGGGAAACGAUGUGGGAAGGCCCAGACAGCCAGGAUGUUGGCUUAGAAGCAGCCAUCAUUUAAAGAAAGCGUAAUAGCUCACUGGUCGAGUCGGCCUGCGCGGAAGAUGUAACGGGGCUAAACCAUGCACCGAAGCUGCGGCAGCGACGCUGAUGCGUUGUUGGGUAGGGGAGCGUUCUGUAAGCCUGCGAAGGUGUGCUGUGAGGCAUGCUGGAGGUAUCAGAAGUGCGAAUGCUGACAUAAGUAACGAUAAAGCGGGUGAAAAGCCCGCUCGCCGGAAGACCAAGGGUUCCUGUCCAACGUUAAUCGGGGCAGGGUGAGUCGACCCCUAAGGCGAGGCCGAAAGGCGUAGUCGAUGGGAAACAGGUUAAUAUUCCUGUACUUGGUGUUACUGCGAAGGGGGGACGGAGAAGGCUAUGUUGGCCGGGCGACGGUUGUCCCGGUUUAAGCGUGUAGGCUGGUUUUCCAGGCAAAUCCGGAAAAUCAAGGCUGAGGCGUGAUGACGAGGCACUACGGUGCUGAAGCAACAAAUGCCCUGCUUCCAGGAAAAGCCUCUAAGCAUCAGGUAACAUCAAAUCGUACCCCAAACCGACACAGGUGGUCAGGUAGAGAAUACCAAGGCGCUUGAGAGAACUCGGGUGAAGGAACUAGGCAAAAUGGUGCCGUAACUUCGGGAGAAGGCACGCUGAUAUGUAGGUGAAGUCCCUCGCGGAUGGAGCUGAAAUCAGUCGAAGAUACCAGCUGGCUGCAACUGUUUAUUAAAAACACAGCACUGUGCAAACACGAAAGUGGACGUAUACGGUGUGACGCCUGCCCGGUGCCGGAAGGUUAAUUGAUGGGGUUAGCGCAAGCGAAGCUCUUGAUCGAAGCCCCGGUAAACGGCGGCCGUAACUAUAACGGUCCUAAGGUAGCGAAAUUCCUUGUCGGGUAAGUUCCGACCUGCACGAAUGGCGUAAUGAUGGCCAGGCUGUCUCCACCCGAGACUCAGUGAAAUUGAACUCGCUGUGAAGAUGCAGUGUACCCGCGGCAAGACGGAAAGACCCCGUGAACCUUUACUAUAGCUUGACACUGAACAUUGAGCCUUGAUGUGUAGGAUAGGUGGGAGGCUUUGAAGUGUGGACGCCAGUCUGCAUGGAGCCGACCUUGAAAUACCACCCUUUAAUGUUUGAUGUUCUAACGUUGACCCGUAAUCCGGGUUGCGGACAGUGUCUGGUGGGUAGUUUGACUGGGGCGGUCUCCUCCUAAAGAGUAACGGAGGAGCACGAAGGUUGGCUAAUCCUGGUCGGACAUCAGGAGGUUAGUGCAAUGGCAUAAGCCAGCUUGACUGCGAGCGUGACGGCGCGAGCAGGUGCGAAAGCAGGUCAUAGUGAUCCGGUGGUUCUGAAUGGAAGGGCCAUCGCUCAACGGAUAAAAGGUACUCCGGGGAUAACAGGCUGAUACCGCCCAAGAGUUCAUAUCGACGGCGGUGUUUGGCACCUCGAUGUCGGCUCAUCACAUCCUGGGGCUGAAGUAGGUCCCAAGGGUAUGGCUGUUCGCCAUUUAAAGUGGUACGCGAGCUGGGUUUAGAACGUCGUGAGACAGUUCGGUCCCUAUCUGCCGUGGGCGCUGGAGAAUUGAGGGGGGCUGCUCCUAGUACGAGAGGACCGGAGUGGACGCAUCACUGGUGUUCGGGUUGUCAUGCCAAUGGCACUGCCCGGUAGCUAAAUGCGGAAGAGAUAAGUGCUGAAAGCAUCUAAGCACGAAACUUGCCCCGAGAUGAGUUCUCCCUGACUCCUUGAGAGUCCUGAAGGAACGUUGAAGACGACGACGUUGAUAGGCCGGGUGUGUAAGCGCAGCGAUGCGUUGAGCUAACCGGUACUAAUGAACCGUGAGGCUUAACCUU